rnacentral:rRNA from 1 species
UACGUAGGGUGCAAGCGUUGUCCGGAAUUAUUGGGCGUAAAGAGCUCGUAGGCGGUUUGUCGCGUCUGCUGUGAAAACCCGGGGCUCAACCCCGGGCCUGCAGUCGAUACGGGCAGACUAGAGUGUGGUAGGGGAGACUGGAAUCGCGUGGUGCAGCGGUGAAAUGCGCAGAUAUCAGGAGGAACACCGGUGGCGAAGGCGGGUCUCUGGGCCAUAACUGACGCUGAGGAGCGAAAGCGUGGGGAGCGAACAGG